AAUAUUUUACAGCUCUUGAACCUAAAACCCGCGUAUUGAGGAUAAUCAACAAUACUCAAUUUUGGAUACGCACUUGAAAGAAAAAUAUUGUGCAAGAUCUUUGGACGGGUAAAGGAUUUAGGAUAAUAUAAAAGGAGGAUGGAAACGAGGGAAAACAGGCGAACAAUGUAUUCUAGAGAUCUUCGAUUAGGAAGGAAUAUAUUGUGUCUAAAACAUUCAAUCAUUGCACGUGAAAAACGAUAUUGAGUGGUGUUCGGUUGAACAUAUUUUUUUUAUCACUAAAGCAACCGAGAAAUCUAUAAAAAUAAUACCAAACUUUUCUAUUU